rnacentral:rRNA from 1 species
CCUACGGGUGGCAGCAGUGGGGAAUAUUGGACAAUGGGCGAAAGCCUGAUCCAGCCAUGCCGCGUGAGUGAAGAAGGCCUUCGGGUUGUAAAACUCUUUUAGCAGGGAAGAUCGUGACGGUACCUGCAGAAAAAGCACCGGCUAACUUCGUGCCAGCAGCCGCGGUAAUACGAAGGGUGCUAGCGUUGCUCGGAAUCACUGGGCGUAAAGCGUGCGCAGGCGGAUAUGCAAGUCAGGUGUGAAAUCCCCAGGCUUAACCUGGGAACUGCAUUUGA